UACGUAGGGUCCGAGCGUUGUCCGGAGUUACUGGGCGUAAAGCGCGCGCAGGCGGCGGUGCUGGCCCGGCGUGAAAGCCCCCGGCUCAACCGGGGAGAGUCGUCGGGGACCGCACCGCUUGAGGGCGGUAGGGGCUGGUGGAAUGCCUGGUGUAGUGGUGGAAUGCGUAGAGAUCCGGAGGAACACCAGCGGCGAAGGCGGCAUCCUGGACUGGUCCUGACACUCAGGAGCGAAAGCGUGGGGAGCGAUCCGG
rnacentral:rRNA from 1 species